AUUGAACACUGGCGGCAGGCCUAACACAUGCAAGUCGAGCGGAUGAAGGGAGCUUGCUCCUGGAUUCAGCGGCGGACGGGUGAGUAAUGCCUAGGAAUCUGCCUGGUAGUGGGGGAUAACGUCCGGAAACGGGCGCUAAUACCGCAUACGUCCUGAGGGAGAAAGUGGGGGAUCUUCGGACCUCACGCUAUCAGAUGAGCCUAGGUCGGAUUAGCUAGUUGGUGGGGUAAAGGCCUACCAAGGCGACGAUCCGUAACUGGUCUGAGAGGAUGAUCAGUCACAAUGGAACUGAGACACGGUCCAGACUCCUACGGGAGGCAGCAGUGGGGAAUAUUGGACAAUGGGCGAAAGCCUGAUCCAGCCAUGCCGCGUGUGUGAAGAAGGUCUUCGGAUUGUAAAGCACUUUAAGUUGGGAGGAAGGGCAGUAAGUUAAUACCUUGCUGUUUUGACGUUACCAACAGAAUAAGCACCGGCUAACUUCGUG
rnacentral:rRNA from 1 species